UACGUAGGUGGCAAGCGUUGUCCGGAAUUAUUGGGCGUAAAGCGCGCGCAGGUGGUUUCUUAAGUCUGAUGUGAAAGCCCACGGCUCAACCUCGAGACGUCGGCGGAAACCAUCUGGCUAGAGUCCGGAAGAGGAGAGUGGAAUUCCUGGUGUAGCGGUGAAAUGCGCAGAUAUCAGGAAGAACACCCGUGGCGAAGGCGGCUCUCUGGGACGGUACUGACGCUGAGACGCGAAAGCGUGGGGAGCGAACAGG
rnacentral:rRNA from 1 species